GAUGAACGCUGGCGGCGUGCCUAAUACAUGCAAGUCGAGCGAACAGAUGAGGAGCUUGCUCCUCUGACGUUAGCGGCGGACGGGUGAGUAACACGUGGAUAACCUACCUAUAAGACUGGGAUAACUUCGGGAAACCGGAGCUAAUACCGGAUAAUAUAUUGAACCGCAUGGUUCAAUAGUGAAAGACGGUUUUGCUGUCACUUAUAGAUGGAUCCGCGCCGCAUUAGCUAGUUGGUAAGGUAACGGCUUACCAAGGCAACGAUGCGUAGCCGACCUGAGAGGGUAAACGGCCAAAGAGAAAGUGAGAAAAGGUCCAGACGCCAAGGGGAGGCAGGGGUAGGGAAUCUUCCGGAAUGGGCGAAAGGCUGAAGGAGAAACGCCGCGGAGGUAAAGAAGGUUUUGGGCUCGAAAAACUAUUUUAUGAGGGAAGAAAAAAGGUGAAAAUAAUUAUGACCGUUUUGGCGGUACCUAAACAGAAAGCCCCGGCAAACUAGGA
rnacentral:rRNA from 1 species